UACGUAGGAGGCAAGCGUUGUCCGGAUUUACUGGGCGUAAAGAGCGUGUAGGCGGUUGAGCAAGUCUGCUGUGAAAUCUCCUGGCUCAACCAGGAAGGGUCAGUGGAAACUGCUUAACUUGAGGACGGUAGAGGGGGGUGGAAUUCCCGGUGUAGUGGUGAAAUGCGUAGAGAUCGGGAGGAACACCAGCGGCGAAGGCGGCCCCCUGGGCCGCUCCUGACGCUGAGACGCGAAGGCCAGGGUAGCGAACGGG
rnacentral:rRNA from 1 species